rnacentral:rRNA from 1 species
CCUACGGGGGGCAGCAGUGAGGAAUAUUGGUCAAUGGACGAGAGUCUGAACCAGCCAAGUAGCGUGAAGGAUGACUGCCCUAUGGGUUGUAAACUUCUUUUAUAAAGGAAUAAAACGAGGCACGUGUGCCUUUUUGCAUGUACUUUAUGAAUAAGGAUCGGCUAACUCCGUGCCAGCAGCCGCGGUAAUACGGAGGAUCCGAGCGUUAUCCGGAUUUAUUGGGUUUAAAGGGAGCGUAGAUGGGUUGUUAAGUCAGUUGUGAAAGUUUGCGGCUCAACCGUAAAAUUGCAAUUGAUACUGGCAGUCGUGAGUACAGUUGAGGUAGGCGGAAUUCGUGGUGUAGCGGUGAAAUGCUUAGAUAUCACGUAGAACCCCGAUUGCGAAGGCAGCUUACUAAACUGUGACUGACAUUGAUGCUCGAAAGUGUGGGUAUCAAACAGGAUUAGAUACCCGAGUAGUC